rnacentral:lncRNA from 1 species
UCAGCAUAAAUCCACGGAUCAUUUCCAAGAGUUCCACUUUCAUGAAAAAAGAAUAGAAGGAAGCCAUAUGGCCCAGGAGCUUUAUUACUCGUGAGUGAGAAAACUGUAUUUUUAAAUUCUUCCAUGGAUACCACAGCUUCCACAUGGGUAGUAUCACUCGAUGGAAGAACUUUAAAGGGACUCUAUCAAGUUUAGGGGUAAAUUUCACCGCUGAAGAAAUUCCUUUUUAAAAUGAGCAAUGAUCUCAUUAUGCCUACCAUCACAAUCAUCUUCAUUUAUACCGUGUAAGGAUAGGUCAGAAAUAUCAUUUUGAUGUCUCCUAACACUAGUAAUGGCAUGGAAAUAAUUCAUAUUGAAGUCACCCUCCUUAAGCCAUUUGGUCCUACACCUCUUCCUCCAAUAGAUUUCCUCCAUUCUAAGAAGGUCAUUAAGGUCUUUGAUUUUAACAUCUCUAUCAUUCAUCAUAUCCUCUGUAAAUAUUUCAUUUAUUUGAGAAUAAACAUCAAUCGAUUCUAUACCUUAGAGUACCUCUUCAAUUUUGGCCCUAACAUUAAAUCUAUUUUUUUU